AACGAACGCUGGCGGCGUGGAUAAGACAUGCAAGUCGAACGGAUUUUCCGCUGUAGCAAUACAGUGGGGAGUCAGUGGCGCAAGGGUGCGUAACACGUGGGCAACCUGCCCUGGAGUCUGGAAUAGCCCGCCGAAAGGCGGAUUAAUCCCGGAUGCGGCUACUCAACGAGUGUUGGGGACGCUAAAGGUGGCGCAAGCUGCCGCUCCUGGAUGGGCCCGCGGCCUAUCAGCUAGUUGGUGAGGUAACGGCCCACCAAGGCUAUGACGGGUAGCUGGUCUGAGAGGACGACCAGCCACACUGGAACUGAGACACGGGCCCGACUCCUACGGGAGGCAGCAGUAAGGAAUAUUGGUCAAUGGACGCAAGUCUGAACCAGCCAUGCCGCGUGAAGGAUGAAGGUCCUCUGGAUUGUAAACUUCUUUUAUCUGGGACGAAACACUCUUAUUCUUAAGAGCUUGACGGUACCAGAAGGAAUAAGCACCGGCUAACUCCGUGCCAGCC
rnacentral:rRNA from 1 species